CCUACGGGAGGCAGCAGUGAGGAAUAUUGGUCAAUGGGCGCGAGCCUGAACCAGCCAAGUCGCGUGAGGGAAGACGGUCCUAUGGAUUGUAAACCUUUUUUGUCGGGGAGCAAAAGACGCCACGCGUGGCGGGAAGGAGAGUACCCGAAGAAAAAGCAUCGGCUAACUCCGUGCCAGCAGCCGCGGUAAUACGGGGGAUGCGAGCGUUAUCCGGAUUUAUUGGGUUUACGGGGUGCGUAGGCGGAAGGUUAAGUCAGCGGUCAAAUGUCGGUGCUCAACACCGGCCUGCCGUUGAAACUGGUCUUCUUGAGUGAGCGAGAAGUAUGCGGAAUGCCUGGUGUAGCGGUGAAAUGCAUAGAUAUCACGCAGAACUCCGAUUGCGAAGGCAGCAUACCGGCGCUCAACUGACGCUGAGGCACGAAAGCGUGGGGAUCGAACAGGAUUAGAUACCCUGGUAGUC
rnacentral:rRNA from 1 species